GUACCUUCGAUAACUAAUAAACAUCUCUUAUUAAGUAUAUGUAAACGCUGCAUGAUACAACGAAGGUAAAUUUUGACUCCCUUUAGUAGUAGGCCCGUGCGAGAAUCGUACGGGUCUUAUUU
rnacentral:sRNA from 1 species